GCGAGUGAAGCGGCAAAAGCUCAAAUUUGAAAUCUGGCCUUAUGGUCCGAGUUGUAAUUUGUAGAGGAUAAUUCGGUAUUGACUUUGGUCCAAGYUUUCUGGAACGAAACAUCUUGGAGGGUGAGAAUCCCGUACGAUCAAUUGUUAUUACCAUGUGAAUUUCCUUCGAAGAGUCGAGUUGUUUGGGAAUGCAGCUCAAAAUUGGUGGUAAAUUCCAUCUAAAGCUAAAUAUUGGCCAGAGACCGAUAGCGCACAAGUAGAGUGAUCGAAAGAUGAAAAGCACUUUGGAAAGAGAGUGAAACAGUACGUGAAAUUGUUGAAAGGGAAGCGCUUGCAAUCAGACUUGUAUUCAGUUGUUCCACUUGUUAUUAACAAGUUUAUUCAUCUGUUUUCAGGCCAACAUCAGUUUUAGCGGUUGGAUAAAGGUUUGAGGAAUGUGGCUCUUCGGAGUGUUAUAGCCUCUUACAUAAUACAACCUGUUGGGACUGAGGUCAGCGUUCGCUAGGAUGUUGGCGUAAUGGUUGUCAGCGGCCCGUCUUGAAACACGGACCAAGGAGUGAAUCAUUCACGCGAGUGUUUGGGUGUUAAACCCACACGCGCAAUGAAAGUGAACGUAGGUGGGAGCUUUUGCGCACCAUCGACCGAUCUGGAUGUUUACUGAAGGAUUUGAGUAAGAGCGUGACUGAUUCGACCCGAAAGAUGGUGAACUAUGCGUGAAUAGGGUGAAGCCAGAGGAAACUCUGGUGGAGGCUCGCAGCGGUUCUGACGUGCAAAUCGAUCGUCAAAUUUGCGUAUAGGGGCGAAAGACUUAUCGAACCAUCUAGUAGCUGGUUCCUGCCGAAGUUUCCCUCAGGAUAGCAGUAACGUGUUCAGUUUUAUGAGGUAAAGCGAAUGAUUAGAGGCAUGGGGGAAAAAGUUUCCUUCACCUAUUCUCAAACUUUAAAUAUGUAAGAAGCUCUUGUCACUUUAUUGGACGUGAGCCACGAAUGUACGUUAUUAGUGGGCCAUUUUUGGUAAGCAGAACUGGCGAUGCGGGAUGAACCGAACGUGUGGUUAAGGUGCCGGAAUACACGCUCAUCAGACACCACAAAAAGUGUAAAUGCAUUAGGACAGCAGGACGGUGGCCAUGGAAGUCGGAAUCCGCUAAGGAGUGUGUAACAACUCACCUGCCGAAUGCAUUUGCCUUGAAAAUGGAUGGCGCUUAAGCGUGUUACCCAUACCACACCGCUCUACCGGAUUUUAUGGUUGAGCGAGUAGGCAGGCGUGGAGGUUAGUGACGAAGCCUUGGGAGUGAUCCCGGGUUGAACGGCCUCUAGUGCAGAUCUUGGUGGUAGUAGCAAAUACUCAAAUGAGAACUUUGAGGACUGAAGUGGGGAAAGGUUCCGUGUGAACAGCAGUUGGACACGGGUUAGCCGAUCCUAAGGAAUAAGGAAGUUCUGACUGAACGAAUGCGCUUAUGCAUCAUUUCCAAAAGGGCAGCCGGUUAAUAUUCCGGCGCUUGGAUGUGGACAAUCCACGGCAACGCAAGCGAAGGUGGAGACGUCGGCGGGGAUCCUGGAAAGAGUUCUCUUUUCUUUUUGACAGUCUAUCACCCUGAAAUCGGUUUGUCCGGAGAUAGGGUUUAAUGGCUGGUAGAGCACUGUACUUUUGCAGUGUCCGGAGCGUUCCCGACGACC
rnacentral:rRNA from 1 species